rnacentral:rRNA from 1 species
AGCUCCAAUAGCGUAUAUUAAAGUUGUUGCAGUUAAAACGCUCGUAGUCGGAUUUCGGGGCGGCUUCGCCGGUCUGCCGUUGGGUAUGCACUGGCAGGGCCGUCCUUUCUCCCGGAGACUGCCCUUUAUCUUAACUGAUCGGGGGCGGGAGACGGGACUUUUACUUUGAAAAAUCAGAGUGUUUCAAGCAGGCAGCUCGCUCUUGCAUGGAUUAGCAUGGGAUAAUGAAAUAGGACUUUGGUGCUAUUUUGUUGGUUUCGAGUACCGAAGUAAUGAUUAACAGGGACAGUCAGGGGCACUCGUAUUCCGCCGAGAGAGGUGAAAUUCUUAGACCAGCGGAAGACGAACCACUGCGAAAGCAUUUGCCAGGGAUGUUUUCA